UAGGGAAUUUUCGUCAAUGGGCGCAAGCCUGAACGAGCAAUGCCGCGUGAACGAGGAAGGUCUUCGGAUCGUAAAGUUCUGUUGAAGGGGAAAAAGAGCGGAGAGAGGAAAUGGUCUCCGAUUGAUAUUACCCUUCGAGGAAGUCACGGCUAACUACGUCGCC
rnacentral:rRNA from 1 species